CGGUUCUUGUACGAUCACCAAAGUUAAGCAACGUUGAGCCAGGUCAGUACCUAGAUGGGUGACCUCUUGGAAAUAACAAGUGCCGUAA